rnacentral:lncRNA from 1 species
GCCACAAGAACUUGUAGGGGCCAAGUUGCUUUUAUGUGAACACUACAAGGCUUCCCUCUCAUGGAGAGAAGUUCUAUAGCACUCUUCUUUCUGCAGUUUUCAUCCUCUUGGUCUUCCACUUCAACUUUCCUUUCUGCUGGACUUUUCUGUUCUGUCUCCUGCUUCAUUUUAACUGUGGGACAGUGCAGCCUAUGGGGAAACAAAGGGCUCCUCCCCUUCUAAGGAGACAGUGAGAGGCAAGAGCAAAUCUGUCAGAAAUGGUGUUGGAUGUUAACAAUACAGAGGAAAACCCCUCAGGAAGAAGCUCCAACUGAUGAAAUGCAAGACUCUACUAUGUAUUCAUAACACAAAAUAUCUCCAUAACAACCACACAGGGUUCACGUUAGGUUUAAGGGGGAGGGAGUACAGGUUAUUGAUUUUGGUUGGUAUUCAGAGUUGAGAUCCUCACGUUUAACUCUUACUUUUGUGUAAAUCAUUCAUUGACGUCAAUGGGAGACAUGCACCAUAAUUUGAAUACCAUCUCAAAAUACAUAUUAGUACUAUAUUUAAACCCCUUUAUAUUAUGUGGGAUUUUAGAUUCUUGAUGAAACAGCCUUUGCACAAUCCCUUGUACAUCCUAAUAGAAUCAAUGCUGUGAAAAUGAAAUUUGAUCAACCACAUUUGUAGCAAAUAAAUGUAUGUUUGUAAUGAAAGAUAUUUGUCCAAAUAUCUGUCCAAAUAGCCAUAGCGAAGUGAAAGCUUCCAGUUGCAUAAGGUUGACAUUAUCUGGCAGUCUGAUCAUAUACUACCUACACCAGACGAGGCUGGUGGGAGGAGCUAUAGG